AUUGAACGCUGGCGGCAUGCCUUACACAUGCAAGUCGAACGUGAAAGCGGGGCAACCCGCAAGUAGAGUGGCGGACGGGUGAGUAAUACAUCGGAACGUGUCCAGUAAUGGGGGAUAACCUAGCGAAAGUUAGGCCAAUACCGCAUACGAUCUGCGGAUGAAAGCGGGGGAUGCGGCACUAAAGGCUUUUGGCGAAGGUGGCCAAAGGUGAGUCAAGAGCUUUUAGUGCNGCACCUCGCGUUAUUGGAGCGGCUGAUGUCUGAUUAGCUAGUUGGUGAGGUAAAGGCUUACCAAGGCGACGAUCAGUAGCUGGUCUGAGAGGACGGCCAGCCACACUGGGACUGAGACACGGCCCAGACUCCUAC
rnacentral:rRNA from 1 species